rnacentral:lncRNA from 1 species
GCGAAAUCCAUUGCAAAAAAAAAAAAAAAGAAAAAGAAAAAGUCUGGACCAAGCCAAGAGGGGAAGAGGACGUCCCCAUGAAAGAGCUUUGGAUCCAGAAAGCCCGGGUUCUUGGAAUUCUUUUUCUCUUUUCACUUUUGUUGUAGCAUACUUUGUUCUUUUUUAUUUUUUAUUUUUUUGAGAUGGGGUGUGGGGGCUUUACUGUGGGUCUUGCUUUGUCACCUAGGCUGGAGUACAGUGGCUCGGUCUCUGCUCACUGCAACCUCCACCUCCCAGGUUCAAGCAAUUCUCCUGCCUCAGCUUCCCAAGUAGCUGGGAUGACAGGCAUGCUCCACCAUGCCCAGCUAAUUUUUUUUACCGUUAGUAGAGACAAGGUUUUGCUAUGUUGGCCAGGCUGGUCUCGAAUUCCUGAGCUCAGGUGAUCGGCCCACUUUGGCCUCCCAAAGUGCUGGGAUUACAGGUGUAAGCAACUGUACCCAGCGCAUGUUUUAUUUUAAUUUAAUUUAAUUAACUUAUUUUUUGAGAUGGAGUUUCCCUCUUGUUACCUAGGCUGGAGUGCAAUGGCGCAAUCUCGGCUCACUGCAACCUCUGCCUCCCGGGUUUAAGUGAUUCUCCUGCCUCAGCCUCUCCAGUAGCUGGGAUUAUAGACAUGUGCUACCACGCCUGGCUAGUUUUGUAUUUUUAGUAGAGAUAGGGUUUCUCCAUGUUGGUCAGGCUGGUCUCAAACUCCUGACCUCAGGUGAUCCACCUGCCUGGGCCUCCCAGAGUGCUGGGAUUGUCCUUGGAAUUCUGAGUGGAUACAUGAAGAGUUAGUAAGAACCAGUGAAAAAGCAAUCACUUAUGAUCCUGGGCUUUGAAAAAUCACUGUGAUUAUCUUAUGCACUUACAAAUGAGACUAAGACGCCUGAUGGGAAAGUGCAGAUUGCUGGUGAGGAAGGGCAAUGAAGAAGAGACUAGGAACCAAAUUCAUCAUCAUUAUCACACAAAGGCAUUUGGAAAUGUCACCUUACACAUGGUGAGCACAUAUGGGUGCCAGCCCGAGACAGCAGGAUAAGUUUCACAAAACUUGACCAGGCAGGUUAGAAGCAAGGCAUGGUUCAGGAUGGCAGAGGGCAGGGAGACAGAAGGGAGUAGGAUGGGAGAGAAGAGCCAGCUGGAAGAUGAGUCAGGGGGUGCAACUGGGGAGAGCAGCUCUGAAUCCUGCUUCUCAGUGAGAAAGUUGCUAAGAUGGCUUUGCAGGGAGCUGUCCUAUCGCUGCUCGAGAUCAGCCUGCUGGGCCUAUGAUGAUAAGCAGGGCUGACCCUCUUGGGCUCUGUAGCUAAGCCCAAACCCUGCUGAAAAUGGGGCGGGGAGGUUGAGGCAGUGUGUGGCAAGUGACACAGACGGGGACUCCCAGCUGGGGGUCCCUGGAAUUACUUGACAUCCCACAGCUGGUGUCUUCAGCAGUCAUCUGGGGCAACAAUCCCACCUGCCCAUUGUGGUUGUUGAGGAUAUCAGAGCUUUUGUUUUAAAGCGCUUGCCACAAACUCUUAAGAUGCGGAUGGGUUUCCCCUGUGAAGCACUCCACAGGCGGGAUGCAGGCCCAUCUGAGGAGGGGCUUGGAAGGAAGAGGAGCACUUGAGACGGGGCAGAACUGGGCUGGCCUGGGGCUCAGCGACAGCUCCAUUGCAGACAAACUGGGCUGGGGAAGGCAGCUCCCACCUGGCAGAGGAUGCCCUUCUGCCCCCUGACAGGAGGGAGGAGACCACCGCAUCCCCGACUUUCAGCCCUCACGUGCCAUCUGGUGGCUUUGCUGCAGACACUGCCAUGAUCUGAGUGGUCUUUGGCAAUCACGCAUUGGCGGGAGUGUGAGGUUGCGGGGAAAGAGGGACUGACCAUGGGCCUAGGUGGGGAGGCCUGGCCACUGUGCCCACAGCUUAGGAAGGGACAGUCAGAGCUCCUCUUUGUUGCUAUCGACGGACUGAGCCAGAGGCCCUGGAGCCAGGGGGGAACCUAGUGGCUCUUGGUCGCCAAGCUGCUGGCUGCUGUCCUCCAGGCGCCUGCCUGUGGGGGCAUAGUCCCGCAGGAGCCUGCUCUCCACUCUGUGCUGCCAAAGGCUCUCGGUACUCACGAGUCCCUGCAUCCUCAGGUACCCCUGCUGGCAAAAGGGUGGCAACUUCUGGCGCGUGAGGGCGAACAGGAAGCAGGACUCUACACAAAAGCAAAAUGAGGAGAAUGAGCCAGGCUGGGACAUGUGGGGAGGGGUGCAGAAAGGGGAGCUGCCAAUGCCAGGUGUGGGGGCUUCACUGCAGGCCUUGCCUGGUAUCUUCCAUCCCUUGAAACUGGGAGCUGACCUUUCUGGGCAUCUCACGUCCAACCUGAGUAGGUCAUGAAUCAUGACCCUCCACGAGGCUCCAGGGCAGGGGGCUGCCUUGACACUCUGGAAGAACAAGGCUCCAAAAUAAAAGCAAACCACAGCAAUGCCUCAGCUCCCAGACAUCAGGGCUGAGCACCGGGCUCUGCAGGCAACCACACUGGGGGCGGGGCUCCGACCUUCAUGAGCAGACCCUCGGCCUGGUGCGGCUGGGAACUCAGUGGUCAGUUCCACUGUGAGCUCAGAUCUGCCUGCAAAGACGCAGUCCCUCAACAACAUUUGAGUUGCAAAUACCAUGUGCAAAGUUCUGAUCUAAACAGUGUGGGGGAUAAAGAAAAACGGGUAUAUCCUCAUCUGUCCCACAACAGAAAGCUGGUGCAUGAAUCAAAUUUGGUCAAUCAUAAGAUAGCUGUGGAUACUUAUCAUGUAGAAAUAUGAAGAAACGGCCGGGCGUGGUGGCUCACGCCUUAAUCCGACAACUCUGGGAGGCCGAGGCCGGUGGAUCGCCUGAGGUUAGGACUUCGAGACCAGCCUGGCCAACAUAAUGAGAAAGAAACCCCGUCUCUAGUAAAAAUACAAAAAUUAGCCAGGCGUAGUGACAAACACCUGUAAUCCCAGCUACUCGGGAGGCUGAGGCAGGAGAAUCACUCGAAUCCAGGAGGCGGACGUUGCAGUGAGCCAAGAUCGUGCCACUGCACUCCAGCCUGGGUGACAGAGACUCUGUCUCGAAAAAAAAAAGAAAGAAAAAGAAAUAUGAAGAAACAACCAAAAGAAGCCAUGCAAAGAGAGAAGCUACUGAAAGGAACAACCGCUAGGUCUGGGAGUUCCUCGUGGGAAUGAGAAUGAAGACCCCUCCCGCCCCACCACAGUCAGCCGCCUCUGGAGACCUGCAGCAGGGCCGUGUCCCUCUUACUACACAGUGCCUGGCGGAGAGCACGACACCCCCCGCAUGGCCUGUGCCAG